rnacentral:tRNA from 1 species
AAGAAAGAUAAAAGAACUGCUAAUUCUUUAUUCCAUAGCUAAUACUACGGCUUUCUUG